rnacentral:tRNA from 1 species
GCCAAGUUAGCAGAAUCUUAAUGUUUGCGGUUUAGGUCCGUAAGGUGUGGGUAAUCCACACUUGGU